rnacentral:rRNA from 1 species
AGGACAAACGCUGGCGGGGUGCAUGAGACAUGCAAGUCGAACGAGGUGCCAUCGGGCUUGCUCGAUGGUUACCUAGUGGCGGACGGCUGAGUAACGCGUAGGUGACCUACCCGGAAGUGGGGAAUAACUGCCCGAAAGGGUGGCUAAUACCGCAUGUGGUCGGCGAUUCGAUUCGCCGUCUAAAGGAGCAAUUCGCUUCCGGAGGGGCCUGCGUCCGAUUAGCUAGUUGGUGGGGUAACGGCUCACCAAGGCGACGAUCGGUAGCUGGUCUGAGAGGAUGAUCAGCCAGACUGGGACUGAGAACGGCCCAGACUCCUACGGGAGGCAGCAGUCGGGAAUUUUGCCAAUGACGAAAGUCUGAGGCAGCAACUCCGCGUGAGGGAUGAAGGCUCUCGGGUCGUAAACCUCUUUUCUCAGGGAAGAUCCAAGACGGUACCUGAGGAAUAAGCGACGGCUAACUACGUAGCCAGCAGCCGC